AACUUCGUCGUCAUAGGACAGAUACGAGCGCCAUACUGUUGAGGUCAAAUUGGUUUGUACUAAAUGCCCAGCAAAGAAAAUAAUGUGAAUGCGUUUUACAUUUCGAGCGAUGACACCCAGUGCAAGCCAUAUCUCUCAGGAAGGGGCAGUACUGAAUCUGUCAGUCUUGACCUCUGAAGGGGAUGUAAUCCAAAUACUGAUUGCCGAGGACCGUGAAUGUGCAGAGCUCUUACACUUCCGCUUGUCUGAAACAUUCCCUGUAUUUUACGCUUCCUGAAAUAACCAACCAGUGGCCUGCAGAGAGUUCAGACUUGAAGAUCUCCAAAUCAGUCAUCAGACCAUCGCAUGACAAGAUAGCUCUGGAAAUACAUUUUACACAUACGAUGCUGUCCCAUUACCUUCACAUGGCCAAAUACUGUUUCCUGCUUGCCAUCCUUAUCCUCCUUGGCCUGACUGUCAUGAUCCUCCUGCUCUUCUGGAGCUAUCAGUGCCUGUUUGUCACACACAUCUGUCAGGGCCAGGAGGACAGCUCAGUGUUCCCAGUGUUUGACUUCUUCAAGGGCAGUGCAACAGCAGAUGGAAUGAGUUGAUGGACAUGGAGUGUAAUCAGCCAUUCCUUUGCUUCAGGGCUUUGGAUAUCAUGCCAUUUUAUUUUGAGGCAUUAAUGGGGUGGUACUUAGCCAGUUAAAUUCCCUCUGGACUGAUUAAAGUGUGUUUCUUUUCUUAACUGUGGAAGUAAAUUUACAAAUUGUAGAGAAUAUCUACUCAUUCUUCUUCUAUCUCAUGUAUCUCUUGAAAACAUACACAAGAGCAAUUGCAAAUAAAACGAUCUGUAUCAUUGAA